CUUUAUCAUUUUAAUUUCAGAGAAGUCAAUAAGCUUACUUUUCUAAUAAGCUUAUCUAACCUGCAAGGUGUAACAGUUAUUGAAGUGGACCCUUUGGCUUACUCCUUAAAUGCUAACAUGCUAUUGAACCAGUUCUCAGAAGCAGGUAAUUCCCAAGUCACAACUAAUAUAUGGAUGAGGUUAGA